ensembl:lncRNA
GCGUUUAUGAGAUGUGGGAUGUCCAGUGAUUUUGCCAUUCUGAGUUCUUAAUUCCAGUUAAUAGUCUUUAAUAGUUUCUUCAGUCUUUCCCACUGUUUUCUUUUUUGUGUCUUUUCCCUGUAUCAAGUUUAUUUUUUGCAUCUGAGUUUCCUGGUUUAGUUUCUGUUACCUUCUUCCUGUUUUACUUUGAUAGUGAGUUGCCGUCUGUGUCUUGUAUCCAGUUCUACUUCCUCCCCUGUGGUUUUAUUGUUUGUGCACCUGUAUCUCAUUUCCUCCGAGCUGUGUCUCAUUCUGUUGAUUAGCCCUCAGUGUGGGAGUAUAAAUGGUGUUGUCUUUCAUUUAUCUCUUGUUGCAGCGUCUGUUUGCGUUCUUUCUCUGUUUCCUUGUGUUUCACUUCUGUUGAAUUGCUUUGGCUUUAUGGACUGUACUUUUAGAGUUGGACCACAUAUCUGCUUACCAGUGCUGAGUAAUGAACUAAUAAACACACGCAGAGAGUCAAGAGGUGCAGUUCAGUGACUCAGAGCAGUUGAUGAGGCCUAGCAGACAGCGAUGGGUUGCAACUGUCUGCAUGUGGACACCUGCUAAAAGGGUAUUGCAGCAGAUGACCAGCAGUGCUCGGCCUGGUAAGAUACAGCGUCUCAUUGCCCCACAUACAAACUCCCACCACCUCCCCCUUUACUGCAUAUUGUGUUUGCAGAAGGCUUCACAUAAUUUAAAGUGACAAGCCCCCGUCUCGACAUUCCCUCCGUCUCUCCUGAUCCCCCCCCACCCCCACUCCCUCUGUUUUAUAACCUUCUUUUCUUUCCUGCCAUGGAUACACGCCGGUAUGCUGCUGAAGAAUUACAUCUGUGACCACCUCGGACGCUUUUCUUUCAGACUGUACAGCUACAAAUAUUUCUGUUGCCAGGCUGAAUCCACAGACCAGCAACAUUUCAGGUUCACAGGCGCGAAUGCAGACGAGUCAUGGUGAUGCACACCCCGACCGUUUCCAGCUCUGUGGAACUUUGAACACCAUGGGAACUUUCUGAGUGGUGUUUACUCAGCAUGGCGCUAUCAUUAUGCAGCUUUAGAUGGAUUUCUAAUAAAAUAAGCAUAAAUUAUACAUGCAAGGGCAUCUGUAGCUUCAAGCUGUAUGACAGUUUCUUAACUUUGAGUUUAUAAAGUCAAAAGUCUUGCUUUAGUGCAUCUGUGCUGCUCGGCAGGUCAAUAAGAGGACCCGACGGGACAGAUCAAUAAUGCAUAGAGGCUCCGGCCGUCGAACACUACACUACAGGGCCUGUAAUUUACAGUUUGUUUGUAGUCUACCGCUGGUACAUUAUGUGCCUGUGUGUCUCGAUGCAUCACUCCCACUCCCAUUAGCUGCAGAAUAAAGUCAGAGGAUGUGGCUGAAAACUCAACAGAUAACCUCUGAUCGGAUUGAAACUCUGUAUUUGAUUCAAAUACCACGGGGUCAGCGUCCUUGCUGUGUUUUAUCAGAUCCCCCUGCAGUGCUGCUGCUGUCUCCCUCUCUCUCUCUGUAGAGGGUUUAAACACUUUAGACUUUCAUCAUGUGCAGCACAUAGCUGCUGUCCCUUAAAGGUGGAUACAAGCACCAAAAUCUGAGAGUUUAUCCUGAUGACAUUCAUUAGAAAAAACCCCAUCAGCAGCUUGAAUUUUCAAAAUAACCAUCAAGCAGCUAUUUUACUGCAGAAUUUUGACAUUUCUGAAGUUUCACUGAUGAUCUCUCUAUUUCUGACCAUGACUAAGUCAAAUUUAAAACUUUAAAUAAUCC